rnacentral:rRNA from 1 species
GACGAACGCUGGCGGCGUGCCUAAUACAUGCAAGUAGAACGCACAGUUUAUACCGUAGCUUGCUACACCAUAGACUGUGAGUUGCGAACGGGUGAGUAACGCGUAGGUAACCUGCCUGGUAGCGGGGGAUAACUAUUGGAAACGAUAGCUAAUACCGCAUAAUAUUAAUUAUUGCAUGAUAAUUAAUUGAAAGGUGCAAUUGCACCACUACCAGAUGGACCUGCGUUGUAUUAGCUAGUAGGUGAGGUAACGGCUCACCUAGGCGACGAUACAUAGCCGACCUGAGAGGGUGAUCGGCCACACUGGGUCUGAGACACGGCCCAGACUCCUACGGGAGGCAGCAGUAGGGAAUCUUCGGCAAUGGACGAAAGUCUGACCGAGCAACGCCGCGUGAGUGAAGAAGGUUUUCGGAUCGUAAAGCUCUGUUGUAAGAGAAGAACGGGUGUGAGAGUGGAAAGUUCACACUGUGACGGUAUCUUACCAGAAAGGGACGGCUAACUACGUG